rnacentral:lncRNA from 1 species
CUGUGCCACACCCGUGUCACAUGGCCAGAACCUAACGCCUUGGUCUGGCCAGCCCUGAGCCUCUGAUCUGGCCAGGAGACCCAGGGCUUGCUGCCUUGGAGGCUUUAGGCAAAUUCUUUUGGCUUCUGUGGCCACCCCUCUCUCCUGGGCUGGGAGGAAGAGCCCCUGUGGGAAGAUCCACCAGGGCCUGGGAAGAACCCUGCUGUAUCUCUCUUCCUUGCUGAAGGAGGCGGCCAGGUGCCCCCACCAUGUCCCAUGGCCCCACGGGCCCCUGAACACCCAAGGAGGCCAUGGGGCAGGGCCUGGCGUCAGGAGCCAGCCAGACGCCAGCUCUGAUUCUCGAAAUUUCUCCAUGACUUUGUCCAGCCACUUACCCCUCUGAACCUCCGAGGAGACACCUGUCCAUGGUAGUACGUGGGUGGCAGGUGACAGCACAGGGAGGGCACAGGAUGCUGGCCUCAUGGAGGGGCCUGGCCUGCAGGAGACACUGUCACCCUGGGGCUCUGCCCUCACUGCAGAAGCAGGCCCUUGAGCUGCAGUGAAGUGCCGCUCUCAGGGAGGGGCGGGUGCCACCAUCUCAUCCUGCAGCAGGUGGUCACUGUACAUGAGCCACAGCAUAUGUGGAUGGCAGCCCCAGACACAGACCUGCGCCCUGCAGACCUCCACCUUGGGAAGCAGGCAGGGCGAGCACCACCCUUCCCGGGAAGGAGUGUUGAUGUGGCCGGCGCAGCGGGGGCAGGAUUGACCGCAAGGGGUUCGUCCUCACCACCCACCACCUCGAAGCCUCCCUCUGUGGUGAGCACGGCCUGUUAGGCCUUGGGGAUUCUCUGCUGUGGCCUCAGGCCAGUUGGGAGUCUUGAGGAGGCUGCCCCAUAGAGAGCCCAGGGCUUGGCCAAAGCGUCACCACCCAUGGCCUCGGACUGGAGCUGAGAGGGUUUCAGACCCUGUGCCUCUCCCCAGGGUGCCGUGCACGUGCCGGAUGGGCAUCUGCAGAGAGCUCAGAGAGGGCUCCAGGCAUAGCUCGUCCCCUCCGCCUGAGAACAGGGAGGCCUCUCCAAGGCCUGGACCCUGGGCAGAAGGGGAGCCGGCGUGCAGAGGGUUAAGUGCUGACGAGAGGCAGGCGUGCAGAGGGUUAAGUGCUGAUGAGGGCUCCGUCUCUGCAUCAGUGAGCUUAAUACGCUCCUCAUUUGCAUACUGCAGUGUGCGCGAUUAACAUGAACUUUUAAUUUCUUCUAAGUAAAUUACUUCUUGCCGGUACGUGAGGCGCACAAAUGUCAGAAAAAUGGGAGCGCCUUACUGAGUCGGGGAGGGGAUGGGGGCUGUUGGGAGUCACCCCAGGAACAUGCACGUGCACGCACACACACACACACACACGCACACACGCAUGGAUUCAUGUGGGCCAGCAGCGCACACACUGGCCGCCUCUGGCCAUCCGUGCACAGACCCAGCACUGGCCGGCUGCCUCCACCUGGCAAACUCGCCCUGCACACCCAGGCUGGCUGCGAGCUGCCCAUUCCCGUGCCCAGCCUCACCCCCUGCAUGCCUGACACUGGCACACACACACGUAUGGGAUCCCACCCCAGAGAGCCGACAGACUCACCCAGCCUCAACUUCCCUUUCUGCUUCUACUUUUUAGGGUUAAAUAAGGAUGUAAAUUUACAGGGAUUAAAACAAAGAAUCCAGAGCAAGGAAGUCACAGAGGCUGUUCCCCUGCCCCUGCCCCCAGGACUGGAGGGAAGCCCGGUGGGGCUGCUUUGGGGAAAGCCAGGUGGAAGAGCCCCUUCCUGGAAAUUCCCCAGCUGCGAGCCCAAGUGAGACACUGACCCUCCACCCAGGCCCCACCAGGAGCCUGGCCUCUGCCAUUUCUCCUUCUCACGGUGCCUAGGUGCUCGCUCCUCCCCGCACGCUCCACCAGGAGCCUGGCCUCUGCCAUUUCUCCUUCUCACGGUGCCUAGGUGCUCGCUCCUCCCCGCACGCUCCUCUCCUCACCCUUUAGAAAGCAAACAUCGGAAAAUGUGGAGGCUCCCAGACCUCAGCGGCCUCCACUGCAUCUGAGGCAGACGCCGGACGCCAUUUCAGCACCUCGGAGAGGGCCAGCAGCCAGCACUGUGGGAUCCAGGGCAGAGCUUAGGGGGUGGUGGCCACCUGAGCCCGGAUAUCAUGGGCACAAGGGACCAGGAGCGUCUCAGGAGGGGUGUGGUCAAGGAACCUCCAGCUGGACCCCCUCACAAAGGCCUGUGCCCGUCCACAGUAGGCAGCACAGACGCUGUGUCCACACAGACCUGGUGUCCAGCCUCGGCGCCACAGCCCACGGGCCCAGGUCCUGGACAGAUCACUGAGACCCUCUGGGGCCCUGUCUUCUCUGUGCACCUGUGUCCACCUAGGGCCGGGGCCCUCCUUAAAGCACAUUCACCCCCCUGCCCUGUGUCAUAUCGAAGCCACAGCUGGGUGACUAGGACCAUGGGGCACCAUCCAAAACACAAAACUGACCCGACCAGGACUGGAGCCGCUGUCCAGCACCCUGCAGAAGGGCUCCUCAGCCACCCCAGGACAGUGGAGAUCAGGCUCAGGACACUACAGGGGCCAGGCAGGACCCCUCCCUGACCAGCACUCACUGCAGGGCUGUGGUUUCUCAGCGCCUGUCUCCUGGGGUGUCUCGACCUCUAACACUUGGUUCUUGGGGGGUCCAUCUCCUAGCCUCCCUGGGUCCAGAAGGGUCAGCAGAGAACCUGCCAUGUUGAUGACUUUCAGGUGGCCAAGAGAAUGGAGCAAACCCCUAGCCUGCCCGCACCUCUCCGCCUGCGCCUCACACCCCGGUGCACCUUGCUAGAGGCCGGCAGCCCCAUGCAGACGAGCUCAGGACUGUGCAGGGCACAGGCCCCAUUGAUAAUGCAGCCGGCCGUGACUGAUCCAGACUGUGAGCACCCUGCCCUCAGAGGGUGGUCAGGGAAGGCUUCCUGGAGGAGAAGGCCUAGCAUCGCACUAUGAAUGCAUCAGGAUGAGGAAGGAAGAGACCUGGCAGGUGGGGAUGGAGUCUACGGAGUCUGAGGCUCUGGCUGGGGACACCGAAGGGGACAGUGGGGUGAUUCCUCAGCCGGGGUGGCUGUCCUGAGGCCGGCAGGGGGACAGUGGGGUGAUUCCUCAGCCGGGGUGGCUGUCCUGAGGCCGGCAGG